rnacentral:pre_miRNA from 1 species
AAAAAGACAAAUCAUGGGUUUCCGUGUCCAACUUUAACUGUCCGUCUUAUAUGAAAUUUUUUUAUAAUUUGUAUUUUCAUUGUUGUUAGAUGAUAAAACAUGAUUAAUAUUUUAUGCGUGACUUGUCUUUCUAAUUUUUUUUUUUCAUAAUUUUUUUAAAUAAGACGAAUGGUCAAACAUUGGACACGGAAACUAGGGUUUGUCUUUUU